rnacentral:lncRNA from 1 species
AAACAUUAUUCUUGAUGUCUCUGCAAGACUGUUUUGGGGGUGAAAUUAACAGUUCUGUGGCCCUGCAGACUCCUGACUGAACUAACACAGUUGGGGAGAAUAAGCCGUAAAAAGGGGAGCUUUUCUGUCCUUUCACUUUGCACUGAUGCCCCAUCCAUCCUCCCUUUCUGCUUGCCAUGGUAAAUGGUGUCCGACGUAACACAGAUGCACUGUGCACUGGAGAGGCAGAGCAUCCUGCCUUCCACAGCCGUGCACACCAGUCCCUGUGCACAAGUGGCCACCCACCCAGCGAAUCGACGUGGUGUGCUUAUCAAAAUCUGUGUGUCUGUGGGCCAGAGCCAAAUCCAGAGCCCCAUCCUGAAUGCCCAGCGGUGCCCACAGCCAGGAGGAGCAUUCGAUGUGUGAUGACUCAUCUCGUGCAUCAGACGCUCUCUAAAGUUCCCACAGAUUAUACCAUGGCUUAGUGAGUGCGAUUCUAAGACAGUUCCAAAAGACUUUUCAAUCCGUGGGAGUUUCAAAGUGGAUUCUCAGACAAACAUGGGGAGGACUGAGGCAGGCUUGGACACGCACAGAAUCAGACAACGAUGGUCCGGAGUUCAAAUCCCUGCAACCACAUGGUGGCUCACAACCAACUGUAAUGAGAUCUGGCGCCCUCUUCUGGAGUGUCUGAAGACAGAUACAGUGUACUUACAUAUAGUAAAUAAAUAAAUCUUAAAAAAAAAAAAAACUGA